UGACAGGUGGUGCAUGGUUGUCGUCAGCUCGUGUCGUGAGAUGUUCGGGUUAAGUCCCGCAACGAGCGCAACCCUCGACCUUAGUUGCCAGCAUUCAGUUGGGCACUCUAAGGUGACUGCCGGCUAAAAGUCGGAGGAAGGUGGGGAUGACGUCAAAUCAUCAUGCCCCUUAUGACCUGGGCUACACACGUGCUACAAUGGGCGGUACAAAGGGUCGCGAACCCGCGAGGGGGAGCCAAUCCCAAAAAGCCGCUCUCAGUUCGGAUUGCAGGCUGCAACUCGCCUGCAUGAAGCCGGAAUCGCUAGUAAUCGCGGAUCAGCAUGCCGCGGUGAAUACGUUCCCGGGCCUU
rnacentral:rRNA from 1 species